CACCACAGUGCACUGGCUUAAACAACACAGGCUCAUUCCCUUACAGCUCUGGAGGCCAGAAGUCUACGGUGAAGGUGUUGGCAGGCCUUCCUGGAGGCUGCCUGCGCUCCUGAGGCCCCGAACCCCUCCUCGCAUCACUCCACCCUCUCACCUCCAUCCUCAGAGCUCCCAGCACUGACGCCUGCCCCUCUCCUAAAAGGUCCUCCGAGACCACCCGGGAUGAUCUGCCCAUACCCAGAUGCUUCAUUCAGUCACGUUGCCACGUCCCUUCUGCCAUGUCCAAAGAGGCCAGAUACAGCUCAGCCCGACACUGACACUCACACCCUGGCCCUCCGUCGGAACACCAAGAUGUCAACCCUCUCCCUCCUCCCUUGCAGUAUUUGGACGGCAGCAUGAUUCUGGGGUGGGUGGAGGGGUUCCUAGAGGAGUCAGGGUGACCUUGAGUGGGCGGGCUGAGAAGCCAGGGUGCCCCCAAGGGGACAGCUGCCUUUGGCUAAUGUUUCUGAGUUAAGAUCAAGUAUACACAGAGGAAGAUUCUGGCUCCCACGAGCAAAGUAGGAAUUCCAUCCAGUUCGUUUAUUUGAUGACAUUGUUCUGCAUUUUGAAAAACUGUGGUGGUAUUUUCUUUUCCUUACCUGCGGAGCUAUCACCAGGAGAUGAAUCUAGUGCAUGCGUAUGAGUUUCCCACCGCUGCAGUGACAAGACUGGGGUGGAUUCCCGUUGGAUGCCCCUUAUGUUUCGCUGGUGUCCUGUGUUACUGCACACCCAGGACCUUUCCACAUUUUCCCUCCUGGGCGCACGAUGGCCUGG
rnacentral:lncRNA from 1 species